GACGAACGCUGGCGGCGCGCUUAACACAUGCAAGUCGAACGGAAAGGCCCUGCUUUUGUGGGGUGCUCGAGUGGCGAACGGGUGAGUAACACGUGAGUAACCUGCCCUUGACUUUGGGAUAACUUCAGGAAACUGGGGCUAAUACCGGAUAGGAGCUCCUGCUGCAUGGUGGGGGUUGGAAAGUUUCGGCGGUUGGGGAUGGACUCGCGGCUUAUCAGCUUGUUGGUGGGGUAGUGGCUUACCAAGGCUUUGACGGGUAGCCGGCCUGAGAGGGUGACCGGCCACAUUGGGACUGAGAUACGGCCCAGACUCCUACGGGAGGGAGCAGUGGGGAAUAGUGCACAAUGGGCGGAAGCCUGAUGCAGCAACGCCGCGUGCGGGAUGACGGCCAUCGGGUUGUAAACCGCUUUCGCCUGUGACGAAGCGUGAGUGACGGUAAUGUGUAAAGAAGCACCGGCUAACUACGUG
rnacentral:rRNA from 1 species